UACGGAGGGAGCUAGCGUUGUUCGGAAUUACUGGGCGUAAAGCGCGCGUAGGCGGCUUUGUAAGUUAGAGGUGAAAGCCCGGGGCUCAACCCCGGAACUGCCUUUAAGACUGCAUCGCUUGAAUCCGGGAGAGGUGAGUGGAAUUCCGAGUGUAGAGGUGAAAUUCGUAGAUAUUCGGAGGAACACCAGUGGCGAAGGCGGCUCACUGGUCCAUUACUGACGCUGAGGUGCGAAAGCGUGGGGAGCAAACAGG
rnacentral:rRNA from 1 species